rnacentral:miRNA from 1 species
AGAUGGACACCGCGGAGGAAGGUAAGUCGGCGACGCGCGGCGCCCGAGCCCUUGCGUCGGCUCCCGGGUUCGUGCCCCGGCC